UCUAGCGUGUAAGCAAGUCAAUAGGUGUUAAACCUAAAGGCGGAAUGAAAGUGUAAAAGUUUGAUAUAAACUUUUUGUUGGAGGAUAGGGGUUGUCCAUAUUUUGAACAAUACCCUCGCACUCCUAGGGCGUUUCGUUCUCAUUUUGAGUUGAGGCGCACCAGGAGCUUACACGCUGGUACCCGAAAGAUGGUGAACUAUGCCUGGUCAGGACGAAGCCAGGGGAAACCCUGGUGGAGGUCCGAAGCGAUUCUGACGUGCAAAUCGAUCGUCUGAGCUGGGUAUAGGGGCGAAAGACCAA
rnacentral:rRNA from 1 species